rnacentral:tRNA from 2 species
GGGCUAGUAGCUCAGUUGGUUAGAGCGCACGCUUGAUAAGCGUGAGGUCGGAGGUUCAAGUCCUCCCUGGCCCACCA